rnacentral:lncRNA from 10 species
AUUUCACUGUCGAAAACAUUUUCUUAAAGUUUUUAUGCAUUUACUAGUGUUGUCACAAUAAGGCCUUGUAUGGCUGUGAAUUGUCCUUGGGCUUUUGAUAUUCACAACCAGGAGAGGAUCUCUUUUCUUUUUCUGUCAUCCUUUUUAAUACUUUUCUUUCUUUUUUUUUUUUUUUUGAGACGGAGUCUUGCUCUGUCUGGAGUGCAAUUGCACAGGCGCGAUCUCGCCUCACU